UGUUCCCUGCGGUGUUCGAGCUGGCCUUGCGUUCUUUGAACCAAUGCUACGUUAGCGAGGUCGCCGCGCCUUAAUGGGCCGGUGUGCGUUUCCUACGCGGACGCGCCUAAUGGCCCUGGUAGGCGACCCUCUUGAACCCAGGUUCAGGAUGAUGGCCGGCACGGCACAGGCGGGGGACAC
rnacentral:other from 1 species